rnacentral:rRNA from 1 species
UGGUGGAGUGAUUUGUCUGGUUAAUUCCGUUAACGAACGAGACCUUAACCUACUAACUAGUCCAAAUCUGCAUAAGAUAUGGUACUUCUUAGAGGGACUAUGCGUUUAAGCGCAUGGAAGUUUAAGGCAAUAACA